GAGGAAUAUUGGUCAUGGGCGAGAGCCUGAACCAGCCAAGUAGCGUGAAGGAUGAAGGCUCUAUGGGUCGUAAACUUCUUUUAUAUGGGAAUAAAGUUUUCCACGUGUGGAAUUUUGUAUGUACCAUAUGAAUAAGGAUCGGCUAACUCC
rnacentral:rRNA from 1 species